rnacentral:rRNA from 1 species
UUCGGUCUUAGCGGCGGACGGGUGAGUAACGCGUGGGAACGUGCCCUUCUCUACGGAAUAGUCCCGGGAAACUGGGUUUAAUACCGUAUACGCCCUUCGGGGGAAAGAUUUAUCGGAGAAGGAUCGGCCCGCGUUAGAUUAGGUAGUUGGUGGGGUAACGGCCUACCAAGCCUACGAUCUAUAGCUGGUUUGAGAGGAUGAUCAGCCACACUGGGACUGAGACACGGCCCAGACUCCUACGGGAGGCAGCAGUGGGGAAUCUUAGACAAUGGGGGAAACCCUGAUCUAGCCAUGCCGCGUGAGUGACGAAGGCCCUAGGGUCGUAAAGCUCUUUCGCUGGGGAAGAUAAUGACUGUACCCAGUAAAGAAACCCCGGCUAACUCCGUGCCAGCAGCCGCGGUAAUACGGAGGGGGUUAGCGUUGUUCGGAAUUACUGGGCGUAAAGCGCGCGUAGGCGGACUAUUAAGUCAGGGGUGAAAUCCCGGGGCUCAACCCCGGAACUGCCUUUGAUACUGGUAGUCUAGAGUUCGAGAGAGGUGAGUGGAACUCCGAGUGUAGAGGUGAAAUUCGUAGAUAUUCGGAAGAACACCAGUGGCGAAGGCGGCUCACUGGCUCGAUACUG